rnacentral:rRNA from 1 species
UGGGGAAUUUUGGACAAUGGGGGCAACCCUGAUCCAGCAAUGCCGCGUAAGUGAAGAAGGCCUUCGGGUUGUAAAGCUCUUUUGUCAGGGAAGAAACGGUAGUAGCGAAUAACUAUUACUAAUGACGGUACCUGAAGAAUAAGCACCGGCUAACUACGUGCCAGCAGCCGCGGUAAUACGUAGGGUGCAAGCGUUAAUCGGAAUUACUGGGCGUAAAGCGUGCGCAGGCGGUUGUGUAAGUCAGAUGUGAAAUCCCCGGGCUCAACCUGGGAAUUGCAUUUGAGACUGCACGGCUAGAGUGUGUCAGAGGGGGGUAGAAUUCCACGUGUAGCAGUGAAAUGCGUAGAUAUGUGGAGGAAUACCGAUGGCGAAGGCAGCCCCCUGGGAUAACACUGACGCUCAUGCACGAAAGCGUGGGGAGCAAACAGGAUUAGAUACCCACGUAGUCCCUGAGCGGGCUGGCAAGGCGCAU